ACACAUUAUUCACAAUACUAAACUCUCUUGGAGUGCUAAUCUCUCCUACACACGUCCUGAAGGGUUGAAGAAUGUGGAGCGUCUGGAUGGACGAGUCUGUCUGUAUCUCAGAGAGAGGUCUGAAACCACAUUCAGGGUUAUUCCCUCAUUUGAUGGGGAACCUUCAUGCUAAGAAGUAGAGAAGUAUCACGGUCUGACUGAGGAUCAUGCUCCGUCCUGAUGGUCAUUCACCUCUGUCCAGCACAUCAGCUGAGACUGACCACCACUGCGUCCCUCUGUAUGAGCAAGUGCUGCCCGACAGAGAAAACACUGCCUCCAGCGCUUCAGCAGAUCUCUGUUACACUCACCUGUCUGGGUCGAGGAAGUCUCUGAAAGAAGUCUCUCCUGCUCACGAAGACGGCGUUAAUUUGAACAAAAACACAGUGAAGCCGCCACGGCCGCCAGUUCCCCAAAGACCUGGCAAACUCCUUCUAAGCACACGUUCAUGUGACGUUCCUCCAGAAUACAUGGAUUACAGAGAGAUCCGGUCACCUCCGAUCCCCCCCCGUCCCUUUUCCUCAGAAGCGGUCAGAAGUGACCCGGAUCAGGACCUGUAUGAGGAGAUCUCCGUGCUGCUGGACCAUCAGGAUGCUGGAGAUGAUUGUGCAGGGAAGGGGAAGCGCUUCUCGUGCUCCAGUUUGAUGGAGUCAGACGCCGAUCUGUUUGUCAAAAGUGGGCUUUUGCCAGGUUGGGAUCAUGUGUUUGAUCAGGAGCAGCAGGAGGAUCAUGAUCAGUGCAGACGGUUUGCUCCGACGGUUCAGCAGAUCCGCUCCGGAGUUCAGCUCUACCAACAGGUUCUGUUUCUCCGUGGCACCAAUAUGAUGAACUUCAUCACUCAGCUCAACUGCAUCGCAGACGAACUGGACAAGACGCUGAAGAAAACACGCAUCGCAGGCAUCACAGGUGGCACCACGGGGGCCAUCGGAACUGCAGCUGUAGUAGCAGGCAUCGCUCUGGUACCUGUGACCUUCGGAGCCUCGCUGGCCAUGGCCGGGAUCGGUGUCGGUGUGGCAGCGGCCGGAGGCGUCACCGGAGCCUCAGCCGCCAUCAGCAAGAAGGUCAGAAAGACUCAGAACCGGAGGAAGGUGGAAAAGAUCCUCCGGAGCUACCAGAGCCAGAUGGAGGAUGUGGAGGAGUGCCUGAAGUUCAUCAUCACAGGGAUGGAGCACCUGAGGAGGCUGGAGCCCACGGUCGACACUGACGCCGCAGACGUGAUGAUGCUGGCGGAGCGGCUCGGAAACUCCGACAUCAUCGGUGCUCUGAGCGAAAACACUCGCGCUGUCCAGGCCUUCACCGCAGAUCUGGAUUCAUACUUCACUAAAGACGACACACAGAGGCUGAAGAAAGGCUCGGAGAGCCUGUUUGCUGCUAAGAUCCGAGAGGUGGCUCUGAAACUCAAAGAGAACAUUGACCAGCUCAUACGCAUCAAAAACAUGUUCAUGUGCUAAAGAGCCCACGAAACCACAUGUUUCCAUCUGAAACUCCUCUGAUUUCACAAGUUUGUGGCCUCACUUAGGUUCAUUGUGAGCUCUGAAGCUUCCAUGAAGACUUUUAACAUCUUUAAUCUUUCCAUUCCACAAAAGGUUAUUUUUCUAGUGGUAAAUUGUUGUUUAUGUUAUUAAAAUAUUCUUCACACAAGAAGUGUUUGGGUUUUUAUCCAAAGCGACUUACAAAUGAGGACAAUGGAAGCAAUCAAAAUCAACAAAAGGAAAUGCUCUUGAAUGCUUUGCUCUUUUAUUGUUGAAAUGGUCAUGAAUGCAUGAACUAGCUUUUCUGCAUCAGAAACAGACAACAUGUUUCGUAGCUUGGCAAUGUUUCUAAGAUGGAAGAAUGCAGUUUUUGUAACAUGGGAAAUAUGAUUUUCAAAAGUUGCUGUCUAAUAUAACACCCAGAUUUCUGACUGUAGAGAAAGUAACAGUACAUCCGUCUAGUUGCAGAUUGUAAUCUACAAGAUUCUGUGUACUGUCCUUUUGGUCCAAUAAGUAAUAUCUCUGUCUUAUCCGAAUUUAAUAGGAGAAAAGUAUUGGUCAUCCAAACUUUAUAACACACUCUUUUAGCUUAGAUAAUUUAGAAGUUUCAUCUGGUCUCGUUGAGAUAUAUAGCUGAGUAUCAUCAGCAUAACAGUGGAAACUAAUCCCGUAUUUUAUAAUAAUAUUACCAAGGGGCAACAUGUAUAUUGAAAAUAGAAGGGGACCUAGGACGGAUCCUUGUGGCACUCCAUAUUUUACUGGUGAUAAAUGAGAUGACUCCCCAUUUAAAUAAACAAAACGGUAGCGAUCGGACAGGUAGGAUCUAAACCAUCUUAGAGCCUGCCCUUGAAUACCUGUAUAGUUUUGUAAUCGAUCUAUGAGUAUGUCAUGAUCUAUGGUGUUGAACGCAGCACUAAGAUCAAGAUUGUUCCACUAUAAAGAACCUUUUGUACAGCAGACAGGUUAUUCAUGUAUCCAUAAAAAGCUUGUGUUUAAGAGCUGUUUUUCUAGUUCAUAGUAGCAAACAAACAUAAAGAAUUCUGGAAGCUACAUGUGAACUCUACUUGUGAAUAAUCAUGCUAUUAAACCAGUCCUCACUGGUUCCUCAAGUUUAACUAAUGAAACUACUUUGUUUUCUAAAGCAUGUAAACUAUGAAUGCCAAAAUAAACUGAUCUAUGAUGUUUGGAAAUGCUUCUUUGUGUUGUAAGUGAAAGUGUUUUAAUCGAUGAUUGAGUGCUUUAGAGCAGAUCUGUCUCACACUUCUGCAGACACACAGCUGUGAACAUGAAACCUCUGCAGACAAUGGACGACCAUUCUGCUCCUAAACCUGCUCCUCGAUUGGCUCCAGGGCCAUGCAAGUCAGUGGGGAAUGAGAAAGAAGAGCACCACCCACUGGACCCUGGACUUAUUCAGACCGGACUGGAGUGCUCCAGUGGAGACCAGCCAGUGACCGCG